CGCGUAGGCGGUUAUUUAAGUCUGGGGUGAAAGGUUCAGCGCUCAACGUGAACAGUGCCUUGGAUACUGGAUGACUUGAGUCUGGGAGGGGGAAGGGGAAUUCCUGGUGUAGCGGUGAAAUGCGUAGAUAUCAGGAGGAACACCGGUGGCGAAGGCGCCUUCCUGGCCUAAGACUGACGCUGAGGUGCGAAAGCGUGGGGAGCAAACG
rnacentral:rRNA from 1 species